GGUCUUGUGGCUUAGUGGUUAAAGCGACUGUCUAGUAAGCAGUAGAUCGUUGGUUCAAAUCCGCCGAAGACCU